rnacentral:rRNA from 1 species
GGGUAAUCUACCCUCGAGUGGGGAAUAACCUCUCUAACGAGUGGCUAAUUCCGCAUGUUACCGUUUUCUCGCAUGGGAGAACGGUCAAAGGUGGGGAUCUUCGGACCUGCCGCUCGAGGAGGAGCCCGCGUCCCAUUAGCUUGUUGGUGAGGUAACGGCUCACCAAGGCCGCGAUGGGUAGCCGAUCUGAGAGGAUGACCGGCCACACUGGGACUGAGAUACGGCCCAG